GUCAUAGGGACCAAGGUGAGGAAUGAGACAAAAGACUGAAGGACUUCCUUUCCAUACCCAUGAGCAUUGUGCCUGUCUGGCUGCCUGCUGUGGACACCGGGUAUCCUCAUGACUGUUGUGGGUGCUGUUGCUUUUGGCACUCUCCCAGACCCUAAGGAAGAAGAGUUGUAAUGGUUACCCAACCCAAGCAGUUUGAGCUUCAUGGAAACAAAAAAUAUCAGGAAAAGAAAUACCUCCCGCUCCUUCUACAACUUCUCAGCAUCCAAGGGAACGCUCAGGAGAUACCAUCCAAUGGCCUAGGGCACUAAGGGAGGGCUAAUGGCUGGGCUUCCCUCACUGCUCUUGAAACAAAGGAAGCAAACCCAGGUGGCUAAUGCUUCAGUCUCAGGGUUCACUUUGUGAUGUCUGCAUGAG